rnacentral:rRNA from 1 species
GACGAACGCUGGCGGCGUGCUUAACACAUGCAAGUCGAACGAUGAAGAAAAGAAUCGAAGCUUCGGCAGAAAUUCAUUUCGGAUUAGUGGCAGACGGGUGAGUAACGCGUGAGCAACCUACCUCUUACAAAGGGAUAGCCUCGGGAAACCGGGAUUAAUACCAUAUAACAUUGCGACGAAGCAUUUCGAUGCAAUCAAAGCUACGGCGGUAAGAGAUGGGCUCGCGUCCCAUUAACCGGAUGGUGAGGUAACGGCUCACCAUAGUGACGAUGGGUAACCGGCCUGAGAGGGUGAACGGUCACACUGGAACUGAGCCGCGGUCCAGACUCCUACGGGAGGCAGCAGUGGGGAAUAUUGCACAAUGGAGGGAACUCUGAUGCAGCGACGCCGCGUGAGUGAUGAAGGAAUUCGUUUCGUAAAACUCUGUUCUAUGGGAAGAAAAGGACUGUACCAUAGGAGAAAGCUCCGGCUAAAUACGUG